AUUUGAAAAGACGCAUGACUAGACUUAAUUUGAGAAGACGGAGAUCAUACAAUGUGGAUAUGGCAAUAAGGGCUAUUCAGGAAGAAAUGAUGUUCAGUGGACAGACUCUUGGGUGUCGUUCGAUGAAACGAAGACUUCUUCAGAAACAUGGCAUCUUUAUAGGAAGGGAUGACGUGUUGUGUUUGUUAAGAAUAAUCGAUCCUGAUGGAGUUGAUCUAUGAGCAAGUCACUGCUUGACAAGAAGAAUGUAUCUAAACAAUGGACCAAAUUAUCUUGUACAUGUUGAUGGGUACGACAAGUU